rnacentral:lncRNA from 1 species
GGACGGCUGAAUAUGAGAAAAAAUUCCUGGUAUAAGGUUAUAUUAAGCAUUUUAGUUCCACCUGCCAUAUUAAUGCUAGAGUAUAAAACCAAGGCUGAAAUGUCCCAUAUCCCACAAUCUCAAGAUGCUCAUCAAAUGACCAUGGAGGAUAGUGAAAACAAUUUUCACAACAUAACAGAAGAGAUACCCAUGGAAGUAUUUAAAGAAGUAAAGAUUUUGGACAGCAGUGAAGGAAAGAAUGAAAUGGAGAUACAUAUUAAAUCAAAAAAGCUUCCAAUCACACGAAAAUUUUAUGCCUUUUAUCACGCGCCAAUUGUAAAGUUCUGGUUUAACACA